AUCGGCCAGCAAGACCAUCCUUCAUGGUAACGGCAGCAGUCACCACGCUGGGAGAUCCUGGGACUGAACUCUUUUUCACCUAAGGAAACAGUAGGAAGCCAUGCUUUCAGGCAGUCACGUUCAGCACCGUGCAUUAAAUCAUAGCAUUUUAGAGCUGGAGGGGAAUGCUUAUAAUGAAAGCAAUAAUUUUUACUUACUCUUGAAGACCUGUCUGAAAAUAGUAGACUAUCCUCGGCAGGCAAAAAGGCAAUCUUUAUUUUUCAUGUCCUGUAAACAAGGCCACAAACGCUGCAUGAGAAGGUUACUACAAGCCAUUGAACAGAGUUCCCUGUGCUAUACAGCAGGAGUGUUUGUCUAUUCUCUUCUGUGAAGUCCUCUAGCCUUGUGAAACCCCCAAUUCAAAUUCCAGGAACAGAACCGGGACAAGCAAGAGACAGGCUAUGGCAGCGAGAAAGAGGCAGAGAAGAGAAAAACAGUCUGAAACACUUUGAUGAUGUCUCUGGCAGUGUCUGGAGGCCAGAGGCCAGUGAUCCUUCCAUUGCCGCAAUAACCAGAAGCACCAGAUGUCUUUAUCUCCUCCUCUGACCCACCGUCCUCAGCUCUUUGGGUCUCCCGAAAUUGAUGAAAUAUUUCUAUCCUACAAGCCUUUGGAAGAGAAAGCUGCAGAGAAAGCACGUAAUGGUCCAUUCAGGGUGCUCCAGCAGAAUGCCAUAGACUGAGUGGCUUACACAACAUUUAUUUCUCACGUUCUGGAAGCUGAGAAGUUCAAGAUCAAGGUGCUGGCCAGUUUGGUUCCUGGUCAGGACUGCAAGUUCCACAGACUCAAAAUCAGUGUGAAGAGGCAUUUUCCAACUGGAUGCUCCAUCAUGGACAGCUUAUUUCUAUACACUGUGCAUGACUGCUGGGCUCAAGGCCAACAGCACUUUGAUUCGUCCUGAUGAAUCUUGUCGAGCACGUCUUCCUCGUUAAGGCUCAUCGCAGCCUUCUUGAUCUGGGACACUGGACGCUAGACAGCACUCUGCUUGGGGGCCAUUUUAAACAAUGAAAUCACCAACGAUAAGUAGAAAAAUGACACUAAAUAGACGGUGAAAAGGACACCUAUUUACAGUGCGAGAGCUGAAACAGGAAGGCAGAGCGCAACCUUCUUCGACAUCACCCGGAACGUGGACAUCACGGAAAUCAGGUUUUUUGCUGUUCUGUACGUGUCUGUGGGUGAUCGCGAAAGUGCCUCGAGUUGCACUGAUUGCAGGCUGACAAAUAAAAUUUUUUAAGUAGACGAAUUCGCAAAAGCAGAAUCAGUGAAUAAUGAGGACAAACUGUAUUUCACUGUAGGAUAAAUAUGGUAAACACCUACCAUAAGGCUUAGUGGGGUUUAGUAAAUUGCAUCCCAUAAAAUGUGGCCUGGUAUUUUUGUGAGACUAAAGAGGGUGACUAGAGUAGGCCUGUGCAACUAGUCGGAAGCCUGUUAAAUAGUUAUCAGUUAUCAUUUAAAAACACCAGGAGCUUAUGCUCCUUAAUAAAAAAUACUUUUGGAUCGGAACAAUUUGUCUCUGGCUAAUUUGGAUUUUCUUGGGGACACCAGUAACUUUCUUUGUACUGACACAGAGAAGUCAGUAGCUGAAUUAGAUGAAUAGGCAUAGAAUUAUUGAACUAAGCAUGUUUCAGGUCACCUUCCAUGCGUGUUGUACAUGAAAGAAGGGUUUUAGAAAUAUGAACUUGUUUGUAAAAUAAGAAAGGGAAGCAAGAGGUAUUAAUUUGUAGAAGUAAGAGAAGAAAUAAGAAAAUUUAUGUCUGUAGGACUAUAUUAUACAUAAAUUUUUAUAAAUGUUAUAUAAAAUAUAUACUAGACAAGUAUAUUUUAAAUGCAAGCUAAACUAAUUAGGACUGAUGCAGUAUUUGCUGGAAGCAAUGGAAAGUAUUGGGCAAAAGGAACUAGAUUUUGUGGCUGAUCUUGGCCGUUACUGAAUGGCAUAUAGUAGGGUAAAGUUGGAUAAAAAAUUAGAGAAAUGAAAGUGCUCAAAAUGUGUCCAUUUUCUUUGGAAGGAUUUUAGUUGUUUUUGUCUACCAUCUCUCUGGGUUUAAUUAUAGUCAGUGCUUGGUUAUGGCAUGGGAGAAAAAUGAAGAAUUAUUUCUGGAUGGAUUUUGAGGAUAACAUGAUGAUGCGUGGUAAUAAACAUCACCUGUGAGUUUCUGUUCAUCGCAUCCCACUAAGGUACAGUCUUUUACAGUGUUUCAAAAUGAAUGCUUGCAUUCACUCAUUCACUCACUCAUUCAUCGGUCUAUACUGAAUCUUCACUCGCUGGACAGCCUUCUGGGUGUUGGAGAUACAGCAGUGAACUAAACCUAACUACUUCCCUCAUGGAACUUACUCAGUAGUGGGGAGAGAUGGACACUGAAUAAAUGCAUAUGCAAAGCAGAAUUUCAGAUGCUGGUAAGAGCAAGGGAGAAACACGGAGCAGGGAAGGGAGACGGGGCUCCUUUUGUGUGCUACUUCAAGUAUUUGUGAUCCUCCCUUUGACUCCAGAUGCUCCUGCCAAGACCAGUCCCAGCAGACUUUGGCCAGCUCUGUGCGGCUCUGGGGCUUCCAUACGCUGAGCCUGGGACACUCCAUGGAAACCAGCUCUAUAUUCAGACAUGCAUAACCCCAAAGCGCAGGCAGGAGGGGGUCAAUCAAUGCUUCUCGUUUUUGUCCCCUGGAGCUUUAGUUCUGAUAUAUAUUUCCUAUGCUUUCCUCAAAGGCACCGAGAAGGAUCAGUCAUCUCAGCGAGACAGCAGCUGGGUUGCACAUCCUUGAUGGCCCUUCCCUCCUUGCCUCUUUCACUCACCUGGUCCUGCCCUUCUGCUCCCUGGGAUUGAAUUCUCAAAUAACUCCCUGCAUCCCGUAUCCUGAGAAUCUUUGAUAUCUGGAAUUGUUAGUUUCUUCCUGGAACACUUUGCUGUGUGUAACCAGCAGGCAUGCAGAAAAGAGUUGGCUCCAACUUUUCCACCUGUUCUUCAGACAGAGAGGCCAGCCUGGCAAAAUAGUGGCCUCCAGUAGAGAAAAAGAAACCUAGCAAGUUUCCGCAGGCCAUAGAAACAAUCCUCGCUGCUUCUCUACUUUUUGGAAAACAAGAUUCUUCCUCCUUUUAACUCAACAAGGGAUAACGUCCACCAUAGCUUUUCUUCUUGAAGAAGGACAGCAUGGGGAGAAUGAAGGGUGAAGAGAAACCAGCAUUACAAGUAGCUCAAGUUUGUAGGCUGACCCACUGGGGACUCCCAAGAAGCUCCCUGCCGCAUCCCUUUGGAAUACGGGCGAGUGAGAGAGCAGAACACCUGCGUGAAAUCAGCUGACGACGGUUGUGUAGAGAGAACUUUUCCAUUUGGAGGAGGAAGACAUGCAACUCAGAGGAGCCAGGUCCUCUGUCCCGUGGGACACAGAAUGCCAAAGCCUUGCCCACCUGUGGUUCCCAGGAAGCAACAGCAUUUCAUCACCCAGACUAUGUGGCAACCAACUGGAAUCCUUGAAUGACCCUUCCAUGGAAACAAGCCUGACACUGUGUUCAGGGCUUCCAUCUGUGGGUGAAACUGGGUAUUGUUGAGAUGGGAAACUUGAGAAAAGGCAGGAAUUGACUUUUAAAAUUAGGCAGAGAAAAUUGACCGUAAUUAUUGUUCAGUUAGAGCCCGUGAGGACAUUUUAAUUCCAGGAGGUCAUGUGAGUUUUCUUAAUCCAGGAACCAAUUAAUUGUAAAACUCUUGUCUAAGAGUCUUUAUUAAUCUCUGUAUCAAGUCAUUCUUUUACAGCAAUAAUUCAUUACCUUUUACACUGAGCAAAAAAUGUAGAUUUCUGCUGUUGACUGUGUGACCUCAAUUAUGAAAUCAAAAGACAGCUAUUUAAAAUUGUCUUCUAUCUAAAAUACAGCCAUUAGAAUACAAUCCCUGUCUUUCUCUCGGGGUCAUGCAUGGCCUAAUGUAAGUAACACUGUAGAGUCCCUGUGCCAGAAGUAGAAUAAUAGGCAACUUUUAGACCAUAAUGCUCUGGCGCCAGCCAGCCCUCAGGCGCAUCAUUUUUGAUUGUGAAAUUUAUAGGAAAAGCUUUGUGGGUGGUUGUAAUAUAUUAGCACCACCUAGUGGUGAUGGGCAGAGCUGCCUUUCUUCACUCCCCAGGACCCCACCUCCAUCAAAUUACUGCCCAAGCACGGCUGACGGAACUCUAUUUAUAGUCUUUUAUCUAAUUUUGUGGCCACUUUCCACUUUGAAAGUUAAAGGUGCUGCACAACUGGGGUAAAAAGAUGAAGAAAUGUACAAACUAUUAUAAUAAUAGUAAUAAUACUAAUAAUCAAUAAUUUAUUGAACACUAACAUGAUAGGCUGUAGUAAGUGCUAUGUUUUGUUUUAAUUUUUUUAAAUUGAAAUGUAGUCAGUUAUAAUGUGUCAAUCUCUGGUGUACAGCAUAAUGUCCCAGUCAUGCAUAUACAUACAUAUUAUUCAUUUCCACAUUCUUUUUCAUUAAAGGUUAUAACAAGAUACUGAAUUUGGUUCCCUGUGCUACACAGAAGAAAUUUGUUUUUUAUCUAUUUUUCUAUAUAGUAGCUAAUAUUUACAAAUCUCAAACUCUCCAAUGUAUCCCUUUCCACCCCCUCUCCCCCCAUAAGAUUGUUUACUGUGUCUGCAAGUCUGUUUCUGUUUUGUAGAUGAGUUUAUUUUUAUAAUCCUUUUAGUCAAUCCUCACAAGACCAGUGAGGUAGAUUUUAUUCUUACUUUCCCAUUUUGCAGGUGAGGAAACAGACAGAGCGCUCAAGUAACUGGCCUUGGUUACAUACCUGGUAUUUAGAGGCUUUAGGUAUUUCCUUGUCUCACUGACAUUAAAUUUUCAGGUGUUUUCAUGUUGGUACCAUCAGAAGCAUCUCUGCUAUGAUACUAUGAGUAGGUGGAGCUCAGAAUUUUUCCCAAACUGAGAAAGAACCAACAGCGAGGGAACCAGUGGGGCAUACUGAUUGAGAAUGGGUGCUGCAGGGUCAGACUAGAGCUGGGUUCAAGGCACAAGCCAGCCAAUUAUUCCUCCUGUAUCCCUGGGCAAAUUAUGGUUCCACUCAGAACCUCGGUUUCCUCUUCUACGAAAUGGAGAUAAUACUAUCCUACUCAUGGAGGAGGUGGCAGUGUUGGGUGAGAUAUGUAUGCAUAGAUUCUGGCUCAUAUUGAAUGAAUAUUGAAGGGUUAUGACUAGAUUACUAUUAAAAUAAUUUUUUUAGA